ACACACACACACACACACGGUAUAAGGCCAUGUGAUGAUGGAGGUAGAGAUUGGAGUGAUGCAGUUACCAGCCCGGGAAUGCCAAGGAUUGCUGGGAGUCACCAGACACUAUGAAGAGAUGCUGAUCAAAUUUGAAUUCCCACAUCAUAUUUAUGUAUCUCAAGUAUAUUUGACAAACAGAUGCUGUACUGUAUCUCAGGCCUCUUGCCCAACAAAAUGGUGAACAAGACUCCACCUACUUCAAGGAUUGGGAGAAUAGAGAGUGGAAUGGGAACAACUGGUCUAUCAAUGAGAAGAAAGUGCCAACUGAAAACUUUUAGAAAAUACCCAGUUUACUCAAGGAAAAUAACAUGCAUUGAAGGUGAUUGCUCAAUAGAGAGAAGUUGAAACAGCAGACUAAUUGCCUGUUUGUGACACCCAUGUAAUCAACUUGGUCUGUUCUAGAUUAACAUUGCUAUGGUUUGAAUAUGUCCCCUCCAAAAGUUAUGUUGAAACUUAAUACCCAUUGUGGCGGUAUUAAGAGGAGGGCCUUUGGGGAAGUGAUUACGUCAUGAGGGCUCUGCCCUCAUGAAUGGAUUAAAAUCCUCAUAGAAGAAGCUUCAGAGAGAGCUUUGUCAUUUUUGCCCUUUCACCUUUGGCCAUGUGAGGACGCAGCAAAGAAGCCCUCGUCAGAUACCGACUGCUGGUUCCUUGACCUUGGACUUUCCAGCCUCCAGAACUGUGAGAAAUAAAUUUUUGUGGUUUACAAAUUACCA
rnacentral:lncRNA from 10 species